rnacentral:rRNA from 1 species
AUUGAACGCUAGCGGGAUGCUUUACACAUGCAAGUCGAACGAGUGGCGGACGGGUGAGUAAUAUAUCGGAAGUGCACAGUAGCGGGGGAUAGCUACUGGAAACGGUAGCUAAUACCGCAUACUAUCGGAUAACCCAUAUUGGAUUAGCUAGUAGGUGAGGUAAUGGCUCAACUAGGCGACGAUCACUAGCUGGUCUGAGAGGAUGAUAAGUCAAACUGUGACUGAGACACGGACCAGCCUCCUACGGAGGCAGCAGUGGGGAAUAUUGCACAAUGGGCGCAAGCCUGAUGCAGCCAUGCCGCGUGUAUGAAGAAGCCCCUAGGGUUGUAAAGUACUUUCAGUCGGGAGGCGUUACCGACAGAAGAAGCACCGGCUAACUCCGUGCCAGCAGCCGCGGUAAUAC